rnacentral:rRNA from 1 species
AAUGAACGCUGGCGGCGUGCUUUACACAUGCAAGUCGAGCGAGGCGGCCCGCAAGGGUCAGUCGAGCGGCGAACGGGUGAGUAACGCGUGGAUGACCUGCCCUUUAGUGGGGAACAACCAGGGGAAACUCUGGCUAAUACCGCAUAAGACCGAAAGGUGAAAGGGGGCUCGCAAGGGCUCUCGCUGAAGGAGGGGUCCGCGUCCGAUUAGCUAGUUGGUGGGGUAAUGGCCUACCAAGGCGACGAUCGGUAGCCGGCCUGAGAGGGUGAUCGGCCACACUGGAACUGAGACACGGUCCAGACUCCUACGGGAGGCAGCAGUGGGGAAUCUUGCGCAAUGGGCGAAAGCCUGACGCAGCCAUGCCGCGUGAAUGAUGAAGGUCUUAGGAUUGUAAAAUUCUUUCACCGGGGACGAUAAUGACGGUACCCGAGAAGAAGCCCCGG